rnacentral:ncRNA from 1 species
UAACAAAUAAUAAUGCAAACAUAAACACACAACACAAUGGUAAAACUAACAUCUCUCAGCCUCCUCCUAACUCUCGUGCAUGAUGUGCGUGGCUAAGGCUCGGCUGGAGAAAUAAGUUCACUAUCCACACUUUGCCCGCACUCACACUGCGGGCCUUUUUUGUUUAUG